GAGGAAGGCUGGCGGCGUGCCUAAUACAUGCAAGUCGAGCGAACGGACGAGAAGCUUGCUUCUCUGAUGUUAGCGGCGGACGGGUGAGUAACACGUGGAUAACCUACCUAUAAGACUGGGAUAACUUCGGGAAACCGGAGCUAAUACCGGAUAAUAUUUUGAACCGCAUGGUUCAAAAGUGAAAGACGGUCUUGCUGUCACUUAUAGAUGGAUCCGCGCUGCAUUAGCUAGUUGGUAAGGUAACGGCUUACCAAGGCAACGAUGCAUAGCCGACCUGAGAGGGUGAUCGGCCACACUGGAACUGAGACACGGUCCAGACUCCCACGGGAGGCAGCAGUAGGGAAUCUUCCGCAAUGGGCGAAAGCCUGACGGAGCAACGCCGCGUGAGUGAUGAAGGUCUUCGGAUCGUAAAACUCUGUUAUUAGGGAAGAACAUAUGUGUAAGUAACUGUGCACAUCUUGACGGUACCUAAUCAGAAAGCCACGGCUAACUACGUG
rnacentral:rRNA from 1 species